UACGUAGGGGGCUAGCGUUGUCCGGAAUCAUUGGGCGUAAAGAGCGUGUAGGCGGUCCGGUAAGUCCGCUGUGAAAGUCGGGGGGCUCAACCCUCGAAUGCCGGUGGAUACUGUCGGGCUAGAGUGCGGAAGAGGCGAGUGGAAUUCCUGGUGUAGCGGUGAAAUGCGCAGAUAUCAGGAGGAACACCUAUUGCGAAGGCAGCUCGCUGGGACGUUACUGACGCUGGAGACGCGAAAGCGUGGGGAGCAAACAGG
rnacentral:rRNA from 1 species